GCGAUAAUGACUGGGUAAUUCUCUAAGGUUAUUAUAAAAGCAUUUUCUAGAAAGAGAGAAUUAUCGGGGUGUUCCCGAUAAUUCUCUUUUCUAGAAAAUACUUUUAUAAUAACCAAAGAGAAUUACCCAGGCAUUAUCGC
rnacentral:pre_miRNA from 1 species